GUUAUUAAGGGUGUAGGGCGGAUGCCUUGGCACUA
rnacentral:rRNA from 1 species